rnacentral:rRNA from 1 species
CGACCGGCGCACGGGUGAGUAACACGUAUCCAACCUGCCGUCUACUCUUGGACAGCCUUCUGAAAGGAAGAUUAAUACAAGAUGGCAUCAUGAGUCCGCAUGUUCACAUGAUUAAAGGUAUUCCGGUAGACGAUGGGGAUGCGUUCCAUUAGAUAGUAGGCGGGGUAACGGCCCACCUAGUCUUCGAUGGAUAGGGGUUCUGAGAGGAAGGUCCCCCACAUUGGAACUGAGACACGGUCCAAACUCCUACGGGAGGCAGCAUG